GACGUAGGGGGCGAGCGUUGUCCGGAUUUAUUGGGCGUAAAGCGCGUGUAGGCGGCUUUGCAAGUCGGGUGUGAAAGCCCUCAGCUCAACUGAGGAAGUGCGCCCGAAACUGCAGAGCUUGAGUACCGGAGAGGAUGGUGGAAUUCCCCAAGUAGAGGUGAAAUUCGUAGAUAUCGGGAGGAACACCAGUGGCGAAGGCGACUUCCUGGCCUGUUCUUGACGCUGAGGCGCGAAAGCUAGGGGAGCAAACGGGG
rnacentral:rRNA from 1 species